rnacentral:rRNA from 1 species
UGCAGAAUCCCGUGAACCAUCGAGUCUUUGAACGCAAGUUGCGCCCGAAGCCGUUAGGCCGAGGGCACGCCUGCCUGGGCGUCACGC